rnacentral:rRNA from 1 species
GAUGAACGCUGGCGGCGUGCCUAAUACAUGCAAGUCGAGCGAACAGACGAGGAGCUUGCUCCUCUGACGUUAGCGGCGGACGGGUGAGUAACACGUGGAUAACCUACCUAUAAGACUGGGAUAACUUCGGGAAACCGGAGCUAAUACCGGAGAAUAUAUUGAACCGCAUGGUUCAAUAGUGAAAGACGGUUUUGCUGUCACUUAUAGAUGGAUCCGCGCCGCAUUAGCUAGUUGGUAAGGUAACGGCUUACCAAGGCAACGAUGCGGAGCCGACCUGAGAGGGUGAUCGGCCACACGGGAACUGAGACACGGUCCAGGCGCCUACGGGAGGCAGCAGUAGGGAAUCUUCCGCAAUGGGCGAAAGCCUGACGGAGCAACGCCGCGUGAGUGAUGAAGGUCUUCGGAGCGUAAAACUCUGUUAUUAGGGAAGAACAAAUGUGUAAGUAACUAUGCACGUCUUGACGGUACCUAAUCAGAAAGCCACGGCUAACUACGUG